rnacentral:sRNA from 15 species
AAUACAGGUGAGUAGCAGACUGGAGUGGAGACGACGGAAAAACAGGUAAUAAAAGAGAUACUACACUGGAACAAAGACGAGACAAUACAGCUACAGGGAAGACUAGAAGCAUCGGCCGGCAUAGCAAAACACAAUGCUUGUAAAGACAUUGCGUUGCAUACCGGCCGACCCCGUCGUCCCCCCUGGUCGUCGAAAUUGGCGUCUUCCAGAGUCGUCAGAGGUAGCUGCAAUUAGCACCUCGUCGUCGUUGUGGCUGUGGCUGCCCUCUUGGAAAACCAGUGGCACUGGUCCGGCCACCAGCUGGGAGCCAGGAGUAGACGGCACACAUAGUACUGUGGCGACACGGGUCCGGCCGCCAAAGUGAAAUGGAUGUGAGUGUGUGUGUGCGUCGGCAAUUGUGGCCCUAAUGUAGAGCAAGUGGCACUGUUCCGGCCACCAGCUGUGGGCAAUGGUGGACAAUGACACACAUAACUCGAACGGCACAGGUCCGGCCGCCCAAGUGUAGUGGAUGUUUGUUGGCAGAGAUGUGUCCAGUUAGUACACAGCGUUCCAGGAUAUCUGGUUGUCAAGAAGGUACCUCAUGUUGCGGGCGUAGGCCUUAAUGCCAUCCAUGGAGUCGUCAUCUGUCCACAUCUCAUCGUCAUCAUUUUCAUCAUCCG